CCUUCCCUCCUUCCUUUUCUGUAUUUUCACUCUUAUCUCUUUCUCCUCUCCACUCCCCUCCUCUCUCAUUGUUUCUUCCUUAAGCCUGGUAUCAGGUGUUGGUCUGUGAAGUGCAAAAGGUACAAUUACAGUGCACUCCAGAUGUGAAAUCCAUGCUGAUCUGAGGCCCCUUUGCCUGGGCUGGGCCGCAUCCCCCAGCCCCACGGAACAGCGGUGGCUCUGCCAAGCCCCAGUGACUGACCGUGACUUGCUGGGAGCAGCUGGGUGAUCCAAGGGAGCAGCUUUGUGGAGGGUCCCAUCACCCACAGGGAGGAUCCACUGGGAGUUGCAGUGGCCAGCCAGGUGUCCCCGGUACUAGGCACAGGAAAAAUGCCUGCCUUUGUACCUGGAAAUGUAAACCAGGUCUUGUAAACACCUUUAGUGCCUCCAUUAGUCACUCCCUGGGCACAUUCACGAUAACAGGACCUGUUCAUCCUAUCUGGCAGUCCCAAGAAAAUACAAUUACUUCUUCCUCGCUUCUUUCUUAAAAAAUACAGAAGUUGUUGAGUUUACCUCCCUUGCUUUUUCCAGAGGAUGCCCUGGGCUGUUCAGAGAGGGAUGUCAGUGGCUCUUGUAUUGUAACAGGUCAUUUCUCUAGCGGAGAAGCCCUACCUUCAGCACGUUCGUCAAGCAUCGGAGCAGGUAAUGCUGACUCAAUCUCAAACACUCUGCCUAAAACCACCAGGACUUUUGAUCCAAUUUCUGUCUCUUGGGUUCCUUCUCUCACAUGUCACCAGAGAAUUUAAUUAUCUAUGUGGAAAGCCAAGUAGGACUUUUAAGAGGUCUUUACAUAAAGUGGUUAAAAUAGUCACCAGCUCAGCUCAACCAGCCUUUGGUUUGUAAGGCUCAAUCCGUUUUCCUCCGUAUUAAUCUGGGAGGGGCUCCCUGCUGCACAUCACUGGUCUGGAGAGCCAAGUCCCACCUGCAGAGUGACUUCAACUUCAAAUGUCUGCUCUGCAAGGCAGUAAUUAUUUCAGCUUGACAGAAAGACAAGACAGGAUGAAAGGAAGCAAGAAUCUGUGGCAUUUUAUGAUGCUGAUUUCAUGGCUUGAAACAGAAGCAUCACCAAAGCUAACUGCAGGCUGAAAACCACUCUGGACGUGACUGUGUUUGUCCCUGAAACCAUCUGGGAUAAAAGAUGGCUGGUGUCUCAGAGGAACCAGCAAGUGCUAGCAAAAAACCUGACCGAGUGACGGGAAGACAAAAGCAGAAAAAUACUGAUGCAGAAAAGACUGUGCUGGAGGCAGGAGACGUGGUGCUGCUGCCUGGUUCGUACUGUGCUGAGCCCAUGUCCUGCCCCAAGCCAAGUGCAAAGCAAGGUGUGGGCUUUGGCUCUCUGCCUUACUUCCAAGAGCGGUUUGUGCAUCUCCCACGGCGCCAUGCCCUGCCCUCCGGCCUCGCAGCCCCACUCACGCCGUGGACGACAGCGUCACAGCACCGGCUCUUCUCACAGGGACUGUCCUAUACCAACACAUCGGGCAAUUUCCUCAGAACUCUUGCCUAGCGCUUUCCCCUGACUCCUGCAGGCCGGAAGGCAGAGCCACCUCCUUCACAUGUCCCCAGCAUCCGUUCUCGCCAGGGGCCCGCGCGCGUCCCCGCCGGGUCUGUAAACCCGGCUUUGAAGGCAGCCAGAUGCCGGGACAAGGGACCGGAGCAUCGACUUU